rnacentral:rRNA from 1 species
CUAGAUUUUACUCUACUUGGAUAACUGUGGUAAUUCUAGAGCUAAUACAUGCAAUUAAGCUCGGACCAUUGGUAAGAGCGCAUUUAUUAGAUCAAAACCAAUCGAGCUUCGGCUCGUGGUUUGAUGACUCUGAAUAACUAAGCAGAUCGCACAGUCUUGUACUGGCGACGUAUCUUUCAAGUGUCAGCCUUAUCAACUUUCGAUGGUAGGUUAUAUGCCUACCAUGGUUAUAACGGGUAACGGAGAAUUAGGGUUCGACUCCGGAGAGGGAGCCUGAGAAAUGGCUACCACAUCCAAGGAAGGCAGCAGGCGCGCAAAUUACCCAAUCCCAGUACGGGGAGGUAGUGACGAAAAAUAACGAGAUAGUCCACUUUGUGGCCUGUCAUCGGAAUGGGUACAAUUUAAAUCCUUUAACGAGGAUCAAUUAGAGGGCAAGUCUGGUGCCAGCAGCCGCGGUAAUUCCAGCUCUAAUAGCGUAUAUUAAAGUUGUUGUGGUUAAAACGCCCGUAGUUGAUUUUUCGACUCUGGCAGUCGGUUGCCCGAAAGGGUCUUACUUGGCUUGUCGAGUCUGAAUUUGAGUUUUCUGCUGCUGCUCUUAAUUGAGUGACAGUAGUGACUCAACGUUUUACUUUGAAAAAAUUAGAGUGCUUAACGCAAGCUGUACGCUUGAAUAGAGUGCAUGGGAUAAUGGAAGAGGACUUCAGUUCUAUUUUGUUGGUUUUCGGAAUUGAAGUAAUGAUUAAGAGGAACUGACGGUGGCAUUCGUAUUGUUGCGUUAGAGGUGAAAUUCUUGGAUCGCAGCAAGACGAACAACUGCGAAAGCAUUUGCCAAGAAUGUCUUCAUUAAUCAAGGACGAAAGUUAGAGGUUCGAAGGCGAUCAGAUACCGCCCUAGUUCUAACCGUAAACGAUGCCAACUGGCCAUUCGUCGGUGUUAAUUUAUGACCCGACGGGCAGCUUCCGGGAAACCAAAGUUUUUUGGUUCCGGGGGAAGUAUGGUUGCAAAGCUUAAACUUAAAGGAAUUGACGGAAGGGCACCACCAGGAGUGGAGCCUGCGGCUUAAUUUGACCCAACACGGGAAAUCUCACCCGGCCAAGACACAAUGAGGAUUGACAGAUUGAUAGCUCUUUCUCGAUUUUGUGGGUGGUGGUGCAUGGCCGUUCUUAGUUGGUGGAGUGAUUUGUCUGGUUAAUUCCGAUAACGAACGAGACUCUGGCCUAUUAAAUAGGAGCGAUAUUUUUGGUAUCGUGUCCUUCUUAGAGGGACUGGUAGCUUCUAGCUACACGAGAUUGAGCAAUAACAGGUCUGUGAUGCCCUUAGAUGUCCGGGGCUGCACGCGCGCUACAAUGAAGGUAGCACAGUGCAAAUUACCUUGUCCGAAAGGACUUGGCAAUCACGAAUUACUUUCGUGCUUGGGAUAGGGAAUUGCAAUUAUUUCCCUUGAACGAGGAAUUUCUAGUAAGUGUGAGUCAUAAGCUCAUGUUGAUUACGUCCCUGCCCUUUGUACACACCGCCCGUCGCUACUACUGACUGGAAGAUUCAGUGAAACUAUCGGACCGGGUCGAGAUUGGCUUCGCGGCCGAGCUCUGAUCUAGAAAGAUAGUUAAACUGUAUGUUCUGAAAGAAGUAAAAGUCGUAACAAGGUU